GAUGAACGCUGGCUACAGGCUUACCACAUGCAAGUCGAGGGGAAACGACGGGGAAGCUUGCUUCCCCGGGCGUCGACCGGCGCACGGGUGAGUAACGCGUAUCCAACCUGCCUCUGACUGAGGGAUAACCCGUCGAAAGUCGGCCUAAUACCUCAUGGCAUCGUCUGCGGGCAUCCAACGACGAUUAAAGAUUUCAUCGGUCAGGGAUGGGGAUGCGUCUGAUUAGCUUGUUGGCGGGGUAACGGCCCACCAAGGCUACGAUCAGUAGGGGUUCUGAGAGGAAGGUCCCCCACAUUGGAACUGAGACACGGUCCAAACUCCUACGGGAGGCAGCAGUGAGGAAUAUUGGUCAAUGGGCGGGAGCCUGAACCAGCCAAGUAGCGUGCAGGAUGACGGCCCUAUGGGUUGUAAACUGCUUUUAUGCGGGGAUAAAGUGAGGGACGUGUCCUUCAUUGCAGGUACCGCAUGAAUAAGGACCGGCUAAUUCCGUG
rnacentral:rRNA from 1 species